UUGGUCACUGACGGGAGGGACCCUCUAGGACGUGGGUCCGGUUCAAUUUGGGUGAAAACCCUGAACCUCCUGCCCCAAUCCCGUGCCUCCCCUCCUCCCCCAAUCCCCGCCUUCUCUCCCUCCUUCCCAAUCCGCCGCCUCCUCCCCAAUCCGGCCUCGAUCUGGGGUGGUUCCUUCCUCUUCAAAGGAAGGGAAGGGGAGGGGAGGGGAGGCCCCAGAUCGAGCGGAGUGACUCUCAGAUCCGCUGCGGCACCGGGGCGCUGUCGUCCACCCGGUAGGAAGCAGCAGCUCGCCUCCCCUUCCUAGGUCCCCGCCACCCCUUCCUUUUUCAAUCCCUUUGGUGUGCCUGGUUUCCCUCCAUCCUGACUCUUAUUUUUCUUCCCCCUACGGGAUCUAUGAGGUUGUUGCUGGUUCUUGGGGUUCUUGGCUGCGUUUCAUCUUUACCCACCAAGGCGGUCACACAAUCGUCGCCCAAUCGAAGUACUUAGAGUACUAAAACACAACCAGGCAGCAAUGUCUGGACUACUUCCCACAAAACAGUGAUAAGUUGGUUGUUCUUUUGUGUCCACUCCCAUAGCUGUGUGACGAAGUCGAUGAAGUCAGAUGUAUAUAAUGCACGGCGGUGGCAGACCCUAGCGCGGCUUGGGCAAGGGCACAACUGGUGACAACCGUGGGUGGGUGGACAAUGGAGGCUGUUGACCAUCAGCAGGAAAACGACCCUAGCCUUUCUUUGAUGUUCUUGAUUGAGACGAUCAAGGAGGACCAGUGAUACGUACCUAGGCAAUCCCAUCUAAGGGAACUCAUCUACAGUUUUUAUACCAGUCAUUUCAUAUGGAUACUUCAAUGAGGAAGUAAUAUGUGAGUUUUUUUCACUUCCUUGGUCUUGCGAAUGAAUCAGCUGGCAUUGCUUCUUGUUCUGCAGUUGGGAUUCCAAAUGUCAAUUGGUUUGCUGUAGAGGGUGAUUACAAUAUUUUGGUGAUGGGACUUACUGAGGCCAAACCUUGAGUAUCUACUCAUUUAGUUAUAUCUUGAUUUGUCGAGAUUGCAUGGAAUUUUUAUCUCAGCGAGUAUUCUGCUAUAACCAAUGGUGUUAUCCGGAGGUCGACGAAUAAUCACAUUGAGCUACUGGAUAAAUACAAAGCUAUUUCUGCAUGUAGAAGAUUCAUGUGCCUCCAUUUACCACAGGUCCUUUCUGAAAAGCUUCGGGACGAUAUGUGCGCUAAAAAGCUCCAGCUUGUUGUUGACGCUGUUGGACUUGGUAAGCUUGAUGAAGCUGAGGUCCAUGAGAAAAAUAUUAUGCCAUCAUCCUAUACCGGUGGGCGUCGCUGCAUAACUGAAAACUUCCACGCCGCAAUGACUAUUUCCCAUGUCCAAGCCUCGCCUGAUAUAAUCACAGCCUUCACAACCUUCACGUGUAAUCCAAAGCGGCCUGAGAUGAUGGAGAGUCUUGAACCUGGGCAAAAAAUAGUCGAUAGGGCUGAUAUUACCAUUCGAGUAUAUCACAUGAAACUUCUUGCGUACCUAUAUACAGAAGAUCAGGAUCGGAAAGAUGUUUGGGACUGUAGUUCCUGUUCCACACACACGUGUCCUUGUUUGGCAGGAGAAGGAUGAUGACCGGGUGGUCACACCAACUUUCAUAAAUUCUUUUGUUUCAACUACCGGAUCAGAACUGGCCGGCAUUGCUGCUAUGCACUUACUAACACCAUGGAAACUGGACUUGCUCAGCCACCUAGGCUUAAGAGGUAUGACCUCUCUAGGCAAUGAAGUGUAGUUCCCUGUUAGCUACCAAUCCAGACUGGAAAUAUAUGCAUGAAUCAUAAAACAAAAUAGUAAUAAGAAACCCUAUGCAGUCAAUCUUCUGUUCUUAUAGCAAUUACAGUUUUGAUACCUCUGUUUCUUUGUUCAUCUUGUUGGGUUUCUGUUUCUCUUGAUAUAGGAUAUAGAUAUGUGAUUCUCAUGUGAUCCUUUUGCUGGAAACUUGCUAAUCUUACGGGUGCUGCUACUGGUGUAAAAAAUGUUUUAUUGAAAGAACUAUAGUAGCUAAUCCCAGCAUUUGUGCUACCUUUUGUUUCGUAUCAAUUGAUCCAGUAUCUUUGCCCUUUUGGCGUUGCUCUGAGCACGAUAUGUAUAGCCUUUAGAUUUCCAUUCGUGUAUGAUAUUGCAUGUACACUUUAGACAUUAUUACUGUCUAUGUGCUCAAAAGAAGCUUGUGAUCACUUGUUCUAUAAAUGUAAUCAACUGCCCUUCUACUAAUAUUUUUAAAAGAUUAUUUAUAUAUGUUUACACUGGUUAGAGAAAAUCAUGACAUUGCCAGCAGCAAUUUUUUAUUUCCAUAUGUUUCAAUCUGUCUCUAAAUAUUUUUAUGUGUACUCUUUUAAUACUUGGCUUGCUCUCGCCCUUUGUGCCAUUGGCGCAACGAGUCAUCUAGUAAUAUUAAGCAACUGACUGCAUUCAGAUUAGAACAUUACAAUAUGUACAGUAACAGAUUUAUGAUCUGUCAGAUAGACGACCCUCCUACUCUAAAAGUAGUCAAGUCAAAAUAUAGUCAAGGGAUUGCCUAUUAGUUCAUCCACAUGUAAACAAAGUGAAUUCAUUAAGAAUCUAGCAAAAAUACAUUGUAACCUCUUUUGCCAUGAUUCCUGAAGCAACACAUAUGCAUGCUGGGAGAUGAGGUCUACCAACACAUUGACAUUGAACUUAUUUCAUGCCUAAUUCGAAGGAACAAAGACAUAGAACAAUAAGAAUUCUACCCAAAAUAUAUUUAAAAAAUCUUUUCUUGAUGUGUAAUUAAUCAUAAAAUAUUAACCCAUGAAAGAAACAGGAAGGAAUCACAACUUCAAUAGUAUAAACAAUGGAAUCACCAUAGGAGUGAUAUCAAUAGGAAUUUGACUGGGGUUGAAGGGAUUUCAAAUGGGAUACACGUACAUAGUAAAAUGCUUGGCUAACACAAAAAUCCUAGCUUAUAACUGAUUAAUGUAAUAAUCUUGCAACAGCAAACCAAUAAUGACAGACAGUAACAUUAUCUUCCACUUGGAGCAGAUUCAACUCUGCUUCAUAAAAUAAAACUCAGAGCGGGCAACUUCUUGUAUGCAGCACUGAAACGUGAUCACUAAGAUACUCUUCCUGGUUUUUCAAAUUGGUUGUUUCAACACACGAAAACUAAAAAGAACAUAACUAAAUACAAGUGCAUAACAAGACUAUGAGGAUGAUGGCAUGAUGUUACUAAAACUGCAAAGAGUAAGCCAUCAUUAUAUUUUGCAACAACCAAUUAACUAUAUUAAUUAAAUGAUACGAUUGCAAAAGGAAAAGUGUUAGGAAGAUCUACCAAUACCUGAACAGUAGUUUCCUCCACAAAAAAUUCCUUUACCUCAUAGCAGAACGCUUUGACCUGCAAUUGGCUCUAUCAGUACAAGAGAAAAUUCACAGAUUGAAUGAAAUAUUUUUCGGGGAUGAGUGGAAGACCGAGAGAAACAAAGUUUGCAAAGUUGUAUGAAGGUGUUACCUUGGAGGAGGGAAUUUGACAUCAACGUGUAGAGGAGAGGGUGUCAUGACGUGUAUAUAAUCACCCAAACCAAAUCCCUUGAUGCUGCUCGUUGUAGCGCGUUUGUGCUGGUUGUGCACCUGCGAGAGGUGAGAAACAUAGGGUCGGGCUGGAUGGCAGCGGCGCCGACGUUCCACCUUGAAGGACGGAUCUGAGCAUUCCAGGUAGACAGAGAACAUGCCGUCGAGGAGGCGAAGCGACAGAGAUGGUCGGUGCCGCCAUCUGGCAAGCUGGGGGUUGCCGAUAGAAAACGAGAACGAGGGAGACGCACCACUGCUCGAGGUCGUGGUGGGCGGCGGUGCCUGGAAGGCGACGUCGCGUCCAGCCGCCCGGAUCGCCAUGACCCUCGCGUCGGCACCGUUUUCGCGACCUAGUCACCUAGGUCGACCAGCCAUGGGAACAGCCGCCAGCCGCCAGGCGAAGGGUGUGAGAGGCGUUUGGUCUUGGGAACAAAACGGUGGCUUCACGAAGGGGAUGGUGCUGCAGGCCCAUUAGGCCCAAUUUAAUCUGAGACGCCGAAAAAAGCGACAAGAGCAGCGGCCCAUGACAAUUAGCAAUCCCUAAUGGCGAACGAGGCCAGAUAAGGAGCGAUUUACAGUAAAUCUAACGAUUGAAAAUGCUCAAGAUUGAUGAUCCGAUGGCUACGGGCGCUGAUGGCCUGAGACGGCAGGAAAAGUGCCGCAGACCCCCGCCACCGCCGACUGGAUCCCGGCCGCGCCCCAAUCCGUGACGCCGCGGCCGUAUUCUCGAUAUUGCGCCUGGAUCCCGCUGCUCCAGGCCAUCCACUGUCCCGUCGUCAAUGCCUUCCCUCACCAAGCGCCUCCACAUCCCUCCUCUGCAUUCUUGGUGGCGCAAGCCGGCCCCUCGCUUCGGUGCUGGCUUUCUUUGAACGGAUCGGAUACAUGUGCGGUGGUUCCCCCGUGAGCGAUCUUGAACUUUGUCGCCUUUUGGAAAUGGAAUCCAGCAACUAGACGGCAAUAAUCAAGCAGCAGCUCACCUCCAUAUCCUACAGUGGCAGCAAGGUUUGUUGAUCCACUAAUAGACGGCAGUACCCACAAAUAAUGCAAGACCUUGUGAAAGAGAUGUUGCCCAGGUUCACUCCUGGUCAAGCUAAAGUGGUCAAGGAAAAGAACUAACUAAACAAAGGGACGGAAAUUGAUGCAACAGACACUGACUAGCUACUCAGUCGAUUUGCGGGUUACUUGUGCAUGUGAAUUUCCUGUCUUAAGCUGCAGGUUUUACAUCAAUAUAUAUAAACUUUGCAGUUGAGCGAAAUGGCAAACCGAUUGGACCAAGGGUGAAUUCUAAAUGGCUUUAUAUCGUCCUGAGGGGGAUGUAUUGAUGUGUGCACUACAUUAGUCAGAGGAAUAGAUUAACCAGGGAACCUCACCCGCAAACACUACUUGCGGGAUGCCACAAGGGUUCGGUACUACCGGAGUUACCUCAGCGAGCUGAAGAAAGCCAUGAAUGGUGGCACCAAUGUUCUUGGCUACUUUGCAUGGUCUCUCCUGUACAACUUCGACUAGAACGGCACCCUUCACAUUCCUCUAUAUUACCUCUCCCAAAAAUAACCUCCAAUGUUAGGUCGCUGGACUUGAGCGAAAAGGUUAAAUUACCUCUUUCCACGUGAGAUGACACGAAAUCACAAAUGAAGAUAAGUACAAUGCAUGCAAUGCACUUAUGUCUUUGAGAAUUCUGAAACGGCAAGGAGUCUAUUAGUCUGUACAAUGCUUAGUAGCUUAUUAGUUUAUAUGUAUUGAAGCUAAUGGGUGUCACCAAUUCAAGGGGGGCUGAACUUUGAUCAUGUUGCUGUUAGAUAAUGUUUCCAGACCAUAUGCCAGCUCAAGGAUGCCUGUUUCAGAGAAUGUGAAAACAUCCACUUGUUCAGUUCCAUUGAGCUUGAAACAACCACAAUGGUUUUAUUUUCUUGUUUCGGUUGUAUCUUCAAUCUCUGUGGUUUUAUUAAUGAAAGUGAGGAGGAAUCAGUUACAGAAGUACUGGAACUAGCAUCUACGACAUCAUAUUCACAUGAUAAUAAUGUCGAUUAGCAUGGAAUGUGUGCAUGCUAUGUUA